GUCUUGCUGCGCAGUCACUCAAGCAAACGGCAGCAAAUGCAAACGCUCCAACGGCCAAAGCAAAUGAGACCCAUGAAGACGCCCCCGCCCCACAUGCUGGCGCCCCCCCAGGCACGGAGGUCUCGGGGUCAUCACUCACCAGCGAAGCCUCCGCACUCCAGAAGAAACAACAGGAGGAACGUGGGUGUUCUUCAAGGACGGCUCAACUAUGAGCGAAACUGUCAUCUUGCAUAGGUGGCCACGUAGGUGGCCAUAACCCCACAUCCCUUCACUGACACAUGGAAUAACACACUCAGAGUGCCCCGUACGGAUCUUUAGACUGAAUCCCUAAGAUUUCACAAGGAAGAAUGAAACACAGCUGAAGGAAUUCUGGCAUUGAAAUGAAUUUGAUGUGGCUGUAUCUAACGCCAUGUUCGCUUGGGAAAAUAUACUGCCUCUAUUGCAGUACAAUUAAUAAGAGUUUAAUGAUGAAACACUGGAAAUAUAUCACAGUUUUAUCUCUCUCUGAUCUUCCUCUAGCCCACGCCGUCCAUGUCCAACUUAUUGAAGAGCAUUGAGAUAACUGGCUUUGAAUCAUCAGACAGGUCACUCUGGAGAGCGGCUUAAAGUCUUUGCACCUCUUUCACAAAGAGCUCCUGGCAUCUAGCAGGCAGCAGCCAGUGAUGCUCCUAAAACCCUGCAAUACACAAGACGGUGCCCAUGAAGAGGAAUUAUGCAGCCCGGACGUCAGGAGAGCUGAGGAGUCGGCCCUCGGUAAGUGUUGGAAGCACAUUAAACAGUGUCCUAGUGUUGGCAGCACGGUG
rnacentral:lncRNA from 1 species